GAUGGAGGUGUGGCCAGGCCUGUACACACACUUCACCUCCCAGCUGAUGGCCCUGGUGCGGGGCAAGGUGGUGCUGGUGCUGGAGGUGUGGCCAGGCCUGUACGCACACUUCACCUCCCAGCUGAUGGCCCUGGCGCGGGGCAAGGUGGUGCUGGUGCUGGAGGUGUGGCCAGGCCUAUACACACACCUCACCUCCCAGCUGAUGGCCCUGGUGCAGGGCAAGGUGGUGCUGGUGCUGGAGGUGUGGCCAGGCCUGUACGCACACCUCACCUCCCAGCUGAUGGCCCUGGUGCAGGGCAAGGUGGUGCUGGUGCUGGAGGUGACCAGUCUGACCUCACCCAAACAUUGUGGCAGGAACUGAGCACCACACAUCCACACACUGGGUGGGUGGUGCCUGCCGUCCUGGCCAAGAGUGCCGCCCACACCCUCAGUGCCUUGCUGGGCCACCACUGCCCCCCUGCUGGACCCCCCUGCAGCCAUCACCAAGCCUUCAGGAGACACUGCUGAGCCUGGUGUAUGUCCAGCGGGCACACUGGCGCUGCUUCCAGUACCAGGGUCCUUAUGCCAGCAGGAGGUGCGGGGCGAGGCUGAUCCCAACACCUUCAACCCGAGCCUCUCCUUCCAAGGCCUGGUGGGUGUCUGGCCCUUACGCCUCAAGACCAGAGACACCAUGCAGCUCCUGACACCACAGACCAGCAGCUCAGGGAGAGGAUUGGUGAGAAACUGCUGCAGCUGAGGAGGGAAGAGGCCGUGGUGCUGAGUGAGUCUCCGAGGCUGUGUCUGGUGUGUGACGAGCAGGUGGAGCAACACGCAGCCUUACGGAAGGGGAACAUCCAGAGCAGCCAGAGUGCAUCCAGUGGGUGUGGGAGAUGCUGGGGCGUGCUUGGGUGCUGGGACGAGGCCAGCGGCUGCAGCCUCGGUGGCCCAGCGUGAGGAGGUGGAGCUCAUGCACAGCCAGGAACACGUGGCCUUCAUGUUCAGCCUCCAGGCCCAGCGAGAGGAGGAGCUGCAGACCCUUCAAGAGAACUACAAGUCUGUCUACCUCCACCCCGCCACCAACGUCUGUGCCCUGCUCUCGGCUGGCUCACUGCUGCAGAGGCCGUGGUGCUGAGUGAGUCUCCGAGGCUGUGUCUGGUGUGUGACGAGCAGGUGGAGCAACACGCAGCCUUACGGAAGGAGUGGUAUGGGUGACGCAGAGGCUCUCACUCAGGUGGUGCUGCCCGUGGCCUACCAGUUCAACCCACAGCUGGUCCUGGUCACUGCCAGCCUUGAUGCUGGUGCGGGGACCCACUUGGAGGUUGCUGCGUGAGUCCUGGUUGCUGUGGACAUAUGAUGGCCCUUCUGUCUGGCCUGGCCGAGGGCCGCAUGGUUCUGGCACUGGAGGGCGGCUUCAACCUCACCACCAUCAGCUGCUGCAUGACGCUGUGUGCCAAGGCCUUGCUGGGGGACCCGCUGCCCCCCCCUUGAGCCCCAGCUGGUGCCCAACAAGAGUGCCGUGCAGACCAUCAAUGACGUCAUCCGUACCCACAGCCGCUACUGGCCGGCGCUCUGCUUCAAGAAAGAAGAAGAAGAAAAGAAGAGAAGGAGAGGGUAUAUGUCUGUGUGUGUGUUAUAUGGACAAAAUUUAAACUGAUUUCUUUCAACAUAUAUUUUAUUAUUAUUAUUGAAAGACAAACUUUUCUUCUUCACUUCCUCCUUCUUCUUCUUCUUCUUCAUCUUCU